AUGAACGCUGGCGGCGUGUCUUAGGCAUGCAAGUCGAACGGAUUCGCGUAGCAAUACGCUAAUGAGUGGCAAACGGGUGCGUAACACAUUGGUAACCUACCCCAAGGUUCGGAAUAACGAGUCGAAAGAUUCGCUAAUACUGGAUGUGAUCAUCGAUCUAUGAUCGGUGCUGAACGGCGCAAGCCGCCUUGGGAGGGGCCUAUGGUCCAUCAGCUUGUUGGUAAGGUAACGGCUUACCAAGGCUACGACGGAUAGCGGGAUUGAGAGAUCGACCCGCCUCACUGGGACUGCGACACUGCCCAGACUUCUACGGAAGGCUGCAGUCGAGAAUCUUCCCCAAUGGACGAAAGUCUGAGGGAGCGACGCCGCGUGCAGGAAGAAGCCCUUCGGGGUGUAAACUGCUUUUCUUAGGGAACAACUCUGAGUGUACCUAAGGAAUAAGGGGCUGCUAACUUCGU
rnacentral:rRNA from 1 species